CAGCAGCCGCGGGAAUACAGAGGGUGCGAGCGUUAAUCGGAUUUACUGGGCGUAAAGCGUGCGUAGGCGGCUUUUUAAGUCGGAUGUGAAAUCCCUGAGCUUAACUUAGGAAUUGCAUUCGAUACUGGGAAGCUAGAGUAUGGGAGAGGAUGGUAGAAUUCCAGGUGUAGCGGUGAAAUGCGUAGAGAUCUGGAGGAAUACCGAUGGCGAAGGCAGCCAUCUGGCCUAAUACUUACGCUGAGGUACGAAAGCAUGGGGAGCAAACAGGAUUAGAGACCCCUGUAGUCCCUGUCUCUUAUAC
rnacentral:rRNA from 1 species